GAACAUCUUAGGCUCAGAUCGACCUCGGUUCGGGAUACUCCAGCUUGAGGUGGUAGGCUCCCUCGAGCUCGGCUCAUUGACAGCCCUCCCGCUCAGGGCUCAGGUUCAUCUCCCUCUGUUUCUUAAACCCUUUCCCUUCUCUCGGACUCUCUCAUCCCUUGCUCUUCCUUCCUGGCGGCGACGAGUGGGCGAACGGCGGCGACGAACAUCCACCAAAUUCACCAUGAGUAAUGCAAGCACUGGAUUGCUGAAAGGCUUGAGGAGGGUCUUAGAACAGCAAAAGAUUUCAGCUGUUUUCUGCAGACGAUCUCAAGCUUGGAGUUCUACUGUCUCUUUUUCUGACCUUGAUGAGAAGGGUGAUAUGGACUUUGACAAUGAUUAUACAGAUUCAAAGAGAGAGUUACAGCCCCAGACCGUAGAUCCCAAAAAGGGCUGGGGGUUCCGCGGCGUACACAGGGCUAUCAUCUGCGGCAAAGUUGGACAAGUGCCUGUGCAAAAAAUUCUAAGGAAUGGGCGUACAGUAACCGUUUUUACCGUUGGAACUGGUGGCAUGUUUGACCAGAGGGUAAUUGGGCCUGAGGAUUUACCAAAGCCAGCUCAGUGGCACCGAAUAGCUGUUCAUAGUGACCACCUAGGUGCUUAUGCUGUUCAGAAGCUGGUGAAGAAUUCUGCAGUCUAUGUUGAGGGUGAUAUUGAAACCAGGGUCUACAAUGACAGCAUUAAUGAUCAAGUCAGAAACAUACCUGAGAUAUGUGUUCGACGUGAUGGCAAGAUUCGUCUGGUUAAAUCUGGGGACAGUGCUGGUAACAUAUCAUUAGAUGAGCUCAGAGAAGGGCUGUUCUAGAUAUAGUUUAGGAUGUCAGUGCAAGCAGAUCAUGAGGUUGCUUCUUGCUUGAGACAAGUUUGAGCCCAUUGUAUCUUGAGCAGUGCACUAGCUGGUGAAGGCCUAUGAUCUGCGUCGAUGGCUGCUGGUUCACAUGGCCGUAACUGUGAUGAAGCACCUAAACAAUGGUCUAUGAAGCAACUUUUUUUUCUCCGUUGAAGCAAUACAGAUCGUUUAUGGUUUUUUAUACCUGAAAAACUAUUGACCAGGGUUUCAUAUACUUGGCAUGUUGGUCCCAGCCAGCAUUCUCAGGUUGCCUGUUGGAAUUUCGAACUGGUAAUUUUACUCCUGUCA